GAAAAAACUAGUGAACAAAGAAUUGAUUUAAAGUUAUUUUUAACAGGUUAUUUAUUUAUCUAAAACUUGAAACUGAUUAAUGUAAAUAUCACCAUUUAUACAGAUUUGUACUUUAAGAAAAAAUGUGAAAAUGAUUUCAUUGACUGAGGGAUUACUGCUUAACGUUCAUAGGAUUAUGUUUUAUACCAAUUGAGGACGAUAUAAUGGGUUAAUAGUUUUUGCGGAAUGUACUCCAAUAGAACGAGACACUACACAAAUCAAAUAUUUAUAUUCUCUCUCACACUGGAAUAUUGCACUGGAACACAUUUCAACUUUUGGUGACGCCUAGGGGUAAGUAUAUUAAUAAUGCAUAAAAAAGAGACAUCACAUGAUGCGUAUUUAAGAAAUCAAUUAAAUAGACAACAUGUUGCACUAGACCGACACGCAGCAUGAUUCUGAUUUUGACAUGCAAUUUAACAAGGUAAUAGUUCACUGUAAGAAAUUUCAACCUGUUACGUCUUGACGUUCAAAAGUUAAUAUAUCAUACAUAUCCUAGACGACAGCACAUGAAGGAAUAUUCGGAACGGUUACGGCGCCCCUAGAGGCUUUUCAACGUGAUAUCGCACAAACAAUCUCCGUCACAGAGUUAUAUUCUUUCGUAAAUGCUUCGCAAGACUUCCCUUUAAUAAUCGAACAUUUUCUACAUUUGCCACUUUAUAUAAUAAAACAUCAAAAAACAGAAAUGUGUUCAUUAUUCUGUUUAAGAAAUUGAAGUCAAAUUAUUGAUUGUUUAAAGUAUCCAUGGCCACUGUCGUAAACAUCAAAUUUGUGACAAUUGUGAAACUUUUUCGAAUAAUUUCCAAAGAAACUAUUUCAAUGUGUUUUAAAAUUAAUACUGUAAAAAUACACACUGCAUUCAUCAUCAAUAAUAAAAGAAAUAUAUACUCUUACAUUUAAUCCCAUCGCUUCAUAGUUGAUUUCCCACACACGCCUUAGGAACAUAUAAGGCCAACCCCAAGCCAAGAAUUUGUAAUACUACUUUAAUACUUGCAGUAAAACGAAGUAUGGAUCGGAACGGAUAUGAAUUAUGUGUCGAAGUUUGUCUUGAAAUGCAAACGGUCACUGCAAGACACUUUUUGUCGUCCAGUGGUACAAUGUUAUACAUAUUCAAGACUGCAUAAUAUUAUUAUAUGAAAAGGAAGAUGUAGUAUGAUUGCCAAUGAGACAUCCUUCCACAAGAGGCCAAAAUGACACAGAAAUUAACAACUAUAGGUCACCAUACGGCCUUCAAAAAUGAGCAAAGAUCAUACCGCAUAGUCAGCUAAAAAAGUAAAAAAGGUCCCGAAUUGACAAUGUAAAACAAUUCAAACGAGAAAACUAAAGGCUUUAUCUAUAAUAGUAAAAUAACGAGGUCCAAUUUAUCAGCCGUCAUCGGGUAAAAACGACAAAUCAAAGAAUUGAACUUUAUAUAUAGCUAAUAUAGGAUAAUGGUGUAGAUUAAAAAUUACACCACUUCAGACCCUGUUCUUUUCCACAUAAUUAAUAUUGCCAAUAAUUAACAAGUUCCGGGUCGAAUCGAUACCGAUACCAAUAGUAUAUUCACCUGUUACCUAUUAUCUUAUCUGUACGUUCCGCAUCUGACAUGUGCACCGUCAAAGUUUAACGGUGUAUUUAGGAUUUUGCUAUAUACACGGGUCAUAAUCACAGGGUUGACACUACUACAUUCAAUCAUUGUCAAAUUGUUCCCUAUUGUAGUAUUUUAAUCAGUAAGACUUUCUAAGAUAACAAUACGAAUUAAUACUUCAAGUAAAAUCUGGACUUAAAUAAGGCGUAUAGGUACAGUUUUCAAUUUGUUAGCGGGCAUAACGUAAAACAGCGAUUCAAAGAAUUCAACUUAUUCAUACUUAUAUAGGACACUGCUGUUGAUUAAAAGAUACUCCAUUCCAGGACCUUUUGUUUUCCAAAUAAUUAAUAUUGAUAAGUUCAAGGUCGACUGGUUCAGACAGGAAGAGUUUGAAAGCAGAGAAAACUGUGUAUCUUAUAAUCGGAAUGACUUUAUCAGAUGACAAUACUAAUACUAAAAUAAGGAUUACGCAUAGUUAUGUACUUUAAUUCAGUCACGGACCCGCGAUAUCACGGGUGUGUUCUAGUUUAUAUUAAAAAAAAAUUAAUAUAUACCUUGUGUUUUACAAGAUCAAUACACUACACACGUUAAAAACCACUUUUUUUGUAUUUUUUGUUUUGUGUAACUGAAAAAAAAAACAUGGAGUUCUUUUCUCAUCAAAAUGGAACACACAUAUACAUUUUACCAACAAUAUUAUGGAUUCUCACAAACCAACUAUUUGCGCUGAUCGUAAUAACCAAUACAAAAUCGAACUGGAAUGUUAAAUUGUAUGACAAGUGUUGCAGUUUGUUACAAAUUGAACUAAAACCGUCUCAUUGUUUUAAUGUAGCUGAUGAACCGAUGAAUCAGGAAGUCAGAACAGAAUUGAAAAUAAAAGAAAGCAAUCACGAUUGAAUGAUGUUUGACAUUUUUUCAUUCAACUUUUCUGAAAGUUUUGUUGAAUAUGUUCAUUUGUCCUGCAUAUUAUAGUUUCUGGUUUUGGGAAUACUCAUAAUUCUAUUAUUUCUAUCAACAUUCUAAAAGUAGGAACCACACAAAUUCACACAGUUUAUUCCUCGCUUUAUUAAUCGGAUUCAUUCAAACACAAAAUUGAAAUAUCUUUAACAGUCGCAUGAAGACAUUUAAAUCUUACUGAUAUAUUAACCUGGCUUCUUCAAAAGAGAGUCGGUGCUGGUUUAUACAUCAUACUAAGUAAAAAAUCAACAAAGUAGAAUAGAACCGAAUGACAAGUGUUUCCGUUUGUCUUAAGUUGUAUUCAUAAAAUCAUUUUCUCAUAUCUUUAUUUAAUGUAGGUGAAAAGCCGAUGAAUCAGGAAGUCAGAACAGAAGUGGAAAUACAAGAAAGCCAGCACGAGUGAAUGAUGUUCGAUAUUUUUUCAUUCAACUUUUCUGAAAGUUUCGUUCAAAAUGCUCAUCUGUCCUGCAUAUUACUUUUUCUGGUUUUGGGAAUACUCAUAUUUCUAUUAUUUCUAUCGAUAUUCUUGAAGUAUGACCACACCAACUCUCACGGUUUAUUCCUCGCUUUGUUUAUCGGAUUCAUUCAUCAUAGUUUUGUGUCAAUCAACUGGCUAAAAUCAACAUAUCAUCUAGAUGGAAUAACUGAGUUCGUGUUCGAUUGGUACACUUUUCCUGUUGCCUGUUUUAUAUUGACUUUUGGAGUGGUGUGUAUGACUGAAUUUACAAAAGAGGAGUUUAGAACAAAAAUAUUUCAAAAUGGAAGUUUCAUUUCAACUGUUUUAUUGCUAGUUUUUGGAAUUGGUCUUUACGGUUUCAAACACCAAGAUGCAAUUUAUAGCCAAGUAAAGUUUAACAAACCGGAAUUAAGCAAUAUGAUAACAAUUGUGAGUUAUGCUUUAGAAUAUGUGCUAGUUUAUGCUCCACUUACUGUGAUCCUGCUUUGGAACAUGAAGGGAUGUGUUCUCAUCAAAGAUCAAAAAGGUAAUUAUAUGUCAAUUUCUUUAGACGCAUAUAUAUAUAAAGGUCUAGAUGGUACACAGCUACUUUUGUACAAGUAAUCUUGAUGAACAAUUCUAAAGAUGCAUAUCAAAUAUUCACCUGUAAAGCUGUAUAUAAACUGUGGAUAGAUAUCGUAUUACACAAGGUGGAGUGGUAGUAUCUAUAUGUUUAGCUUAUACACAGAUUUAAAAUUUUGCAGUAAAUGUACAUUUUUCCAGAGUUUAUAUACAGCUUUAAAAAUGUACAGUUUAUAUACAGUUUUCCAGAUGUAUAGUUUAUCUACAGCUUAACAUAUGUACAGUUUAUAUACCUCUUUACAUAUGUACAGUUCUUAUACAGCUUUACAGCUAUACAGUUUAUAUAUAGCUUUACAGAUGUACAUUUGAUAUGCAUCUCUAGAACUGUUCAUCAAGAUUACUUGUUCUAAAGUAUCUGUGAACCAUCUUAAUGUUUUUCAAAUACAAUAAAAAAAGAAGAGAAAAGUAACAGAAAGGUUCUUGUGUUUCUUUAAACAUGAAAACAAGGUAAAUAAAGCAACAGUAGUAUGCCGCUGUUCGAAGGUCGCAAAUCGAUUGAGAGAAAACAAACCUGGGUUACAAGCUAAAACUGAAGUAAACACAUCAACAAUAAAAGCAAGGGAAACAACGAAACAACAUAUAUAUAAGUAAAUAACUCGAUUUUGCUUAUUUGAAUAUGUCCGACGGAUUAAAGAAAUCUGUAUUAAAAACUAGCGCAAAUAUAAUAUCAAGCAAAUUUUGUUCCCAAUAUUCUAUAUGCACCAAAUUCUGUGAAACUUCCACUAACACUUUUCCCCUACAAACCGAUAUAUAUGCAUAACAAAUUUAAGGAUUUUCUUACCCCCAGAUUUAGUAGAUUACCUUAGCCGUAUUUGGCACAACUUUUUUGAAUUUUGGGUCCUCAAUGCUCUUCAACUUUGUAUUUGUUUGGCUUUUUAACUGUUUUGAUCUGAGCGUUACUGAUGAGUCUUAUGUAGACGAAACGCGCGUCUGGCGUAUUAAAUUAUAAUCCUGGUACCUUUGAUAACUAUUUACCCAGCAUAUAAGCUUAAGAAUUCUAUUGAAAAACUUAAUAUUGAUACUUAUAUUAUAAAUUAGGUUUGCAUUUAUCAUCAUUACACGGACUUCAUUCGUAAAUAUAAAUCAACAUGCAGACUAUCUUAUACAAUCAGGUAUUUCACAUCCAAUAUUUUAUGUAAAUAUUCUUUAUAAAGCCGAAAAAUAUCGGUUUUCACCCCAAAGCUAACUAAACCUUUGAACAGACUUAUUUGAAAAGGAUAAAGUUACGAUACCGUUAUUAAAGAUUGAAUUUUUUAGUAUUAAUGAUGAUUCACUAAUAGGGUCUUUGCAUCGGAAAUAAACACAUCGAUUCUUGGCAUGAUAUGUUCUUCUGAUAUAUUUUUUGAUGGUAUGUUAAUAAACCCCUAACGGGAGGGUUUCUACUUGGUUUUCUUUUGCUUAUAACUUGUUUUAAUUUGAUUAAUGCGAACAGAAUAUUUUACACAUUAUUUCAUAUACAUAUACAAUAUAAGGUAAAUGUCAGAAAAGUAUAAACUUUUUUGUAUGAGGAUUCGAAAAUGUAAAAGGGCGAGGUUCAUUUUUGCGCACAAUACAUAAAGGUUUAUAUUUUUUUGACAUUGACCUAAUAUUGUCUUUAAACUGCAUCUUAAAUCUUACGUUAAUAGCUUUUUAAAUUGUAAAAUUAAUUCUAAACUUAUUUUUAUCCUUUAAGGAACCUCUGAUUGUGGAGAAAGUGUUCCAUGAUGAAAUCGACAUUGCACCAAAUAUAUCUGUGUUACUAUAUUUAGGAAAUAAAUAAAAACUUGUUGCAGUACAAACCAGAUUACGUAAACUAACACGAUAAUUAUUCAAUUUCAGUUUGAAAUAAACAUUUCAUAGUUGUAAUUCUAUGUUUUUAAUAUUCUACUCGUAUAAUAUAAGAUUUUAGUUUGGGACAACUAAACGUGUACGAUUUUUUUUUUUUUUGAUAGUUUGGUUAAGAAGAAAUAUCGACAUAGCUAGAUAAUACAAUUAAUUAUCUAAUUUCUAACACAACUCUCUAUUAAGUAAAUUAUCAUUGUUGUAAUAUAAAUCAAAUACCAUAAUAAAAACUCUGAUAUCAACAGUUUAAAAAUUACCUGUGAAAAAAAGUAAAUCACAAAAAUACUGACCUCAGGGAAAUAAUUUGGAAAGUCAUACACAUGGCAAGAUCAAAUAACAAAACGCAUCAAAACGAAUGGACACGAACUGUCAUAUCAUGAUUGGUACAGACAUUUUUAAAUGUAGAAAAUGGUUGAUUAAACCUGGUUUGAUAGCGCUAAACCUCUCACUUUGAUGACAGUCUCAUCGAAUUUCGUUAUAUUUACAAAGAUGCGUUAACUAAAAUGACACAAUAAAUAAAAUAGUCAAAAUAUGGGUACAGCAGUCAUCAUCUGAUAACAAUUUUAAAAGGAACAAUUUAACAGAAAACAAAAACAUCUAUCUACAAACACAUUCAUUGAUUUGCGUGUCUGACGCCAGAAAAUGUUAUACGUCACAUAUAUUUGUCGUUCAAUGUACAUACAAAAAAAAUUAAAAUUUCACAUAGGCAAUGUUAGCAUACAGGGUUAAAAAAUCAAAAGUAUGUAAGUAUAAAUUUCAGAAAUAGACCGAGAUUUAAAAUAGUCCAAAAGUUAUAUAGAAUUAAGUGACGUCACUUUUGUACCGUAUCUAGUCAAUGACAAUGCAUGCUUAUUUUGUGCUGUUUAAUGUGCUGUCCUAUUUUGUUUAAUGUGGUUUUGGUUUUUUAUUCUGUAUGAAAGGUUACUAAAGGUUAGACAAAUCUGUAUUAAUAGUUAUCAAAGGUACCAGGAUUAUAAUUUAAUACGCCUUACGCUCGUUUCGUCUACAUAAGACUCAUUAGUGACGCUCAGAUCAACAGAGUUAUGAAGCAAAACAAAUACAAAGUUAAAGAGCAUUGAGGAUCCAAAAUUCCAAGAAGUUGUGCCAAAUACGGCCCAGGUAAUCUAUUACUGGGAUAAGAAAUUCCAUAGUUUUUCGAAAAAUUCAAAGUUUUGUAGCAGGAAAUUAUUAAUAAAAAAAAUGACCAUAUAAUUGAUAUUCAUGUCAACACCAAAGUGCUGACUACUGUACUGGUGAUACCCUUGGGGACAAAACGUCCAACAGCAGUGGCAUUGACCCAGUGGUGUAAAUAGUUAUCAAAGGUUCCAGGAUUAUAGUUUAAUACACAAGAAGCGCGUUUCGUCUACAUAAGACGCAUCAGUGACGCUCAGAUCAAAAUAGUUAUAAAUCCAAACAGGUACAAAAUGAAGAGCAAUGAGGACCCAAAAUUCCAAAAAGUAUUAAAAAUAACGCAAAAUAUCUGUCGUAUUAAUAUCCAUCUACUGUAUAUGUCUUCUCCUUUAGAUUUUAUUUCACUUUUUUAAUAUUUUUCAGGUAAUCAUGACGAGCAGUGUAUGACGUGUGAUAAUAAUAAUAUGGUGCAACAAUAUAUCUUAAUAUUUAUGUUGUUUGUGAUUUGGAUCGCGAGACCAAUUCUUUGGACUAUAAACUUUUAUUACAAUUAUUUUACUCAAGAUUAUAUUCCAAGCAUGACACUGUAUAUGGUGUAUAUUUUUUUACUCUUGGAUUUUGGUAUCUUCUACUUGAAAAACUUUUCAUAUUCAUUUACAUGUAACUCUAGGAAUCGACAAAUUCAAAUACCAGAGAAGUGUUGACUACUAUAAUUCAUUGACCUAACUGACCUAAUACAAAUGUACUUAAAUAUUCACACGAGCAAGUGUAAAUAUGAUGUAAUGUGAUUUGCCUCUAUUCAAUUGUGUGUUUAAUCCGAGUUGCGUUAUUUUAUUUACUGCUAUAUGAUUUGAACAAUGUUCUGAUUUGAAAUACCCUUUUUGUGAUCUGCGUAUACUCGCACAUUCAUACAUUGAAACUAAUAUAUUUUUGUCGCUAAAACAUUCGAAAUGCAUUUGACAUGCAUGAUAUAAAAGUUAACAUACCCCACUUCCGUGUUAUGUGGUUGUUUGUUUAGUUAAAUAUAUAUGAUUAAUCAUAUUAUUUAAACAUUUAUUAAAUAAUAUUAUUUGUCAAAUAUAUAUCAAACUUGUUACAUAAUGUUAUUAGUUAAAUAUAUAUCAAACAUGUUACAUAAUAUUAUUAGUUAAAUAUAUAUUAUUGAUA
rnacentral:lncRNA from 1 species